rnacentral:rRNA from 1 species
CUCGUAGGCGGUUCGUCGCGUCCGGUGUGAAAGUCCAUCGCUUAACGGUGGAUCCGCGCCGGGUACGGGCGGGCUUGAGUGCGGUAGGGGAGACUGGAAUUCCCGGUGUAACGGUGGAAUGUGUAGAUAUCGGGAAGAACACCAAUGGCGAAGGUAGGUCUCUGGGCCGUUACUGACGCUGAGGAGCGAAAGCGUGGGGAGCGAACA